rnacentral:rRNA from 1 species
UCGGGAAUUUUGGGCAAUGGGCGCAAGCCUGACCCAGCAACGCCGCGUGAGGGAUGAAGGCCCUCGGGUCGUAAACCUCUGUCGGGAGGGAAGAACGGUUUCCGGGCAAACAGGUCGGAAGCCUGACGGUACCUCCAAAGGAAGCACCGGCUAACUCCGUGCCAGCAGCCGCGGUAAUACGGAGGGUGCAAGCGUUGUUCGGAAUCACUGGGCGUAAAGCGCGUGUAGGCGGCUUGGCAAGUCGGCUGUGAAAGCCCGGGGCCCAACCCCGGAAAUGCAGCCGAAACUGCCUCGCUAGAGUCCCGGAGAGGAAGGCAGAAUUCCCGGUGUAGGGGUGAAAUCCGUAGAUAUCGGGAGGAAUACCAGCGGCGAAGGCGGCCUUCUGGACGGUGACUGACGCUGAGACGCGAAAGCGUGGGGAGCAAACAGGAUUAGAUACCCCCGUAGUCC